UGCCUUCCAUUGCAAUUGCAGUUCUAAAAACGACGCAAUCAUUGUGAUUUCGUUUUGCCUUGGACUUGCAUUGGACAGGCAUAUGGUAUCCUAUAUACGGCCUUGACUGGUAUACCAAUACUGCCUUGAUUGGGCAGAUAUCUUUGUUUUCAUAUACCCACCCUGCAUUGGGCUAUAUCCCAGAAUUUUGCCUUGGGCACCGGCCGCCGCUUAAAUUCUUACUGGUGCCGCAAGAUAAUCUUGCGCAAUCUUGCGCAAGUAUACGUGCCCAAGGCCAUAUAUUACGUGUUUCAGUUCUCUAUAUACCGUGGCUUCAGCUCAAGCUUGUGAGGUUGCCUGUGAGAGGUGGACGGCAGUGGUCUGUUGUCGAGCGCACAAUGUCGAGUGAAGAGCCAAUCCCCACACGGACCUUUAGCCGCGGCGGGGGGAUGGGUCGCGGCCGGGCGCGACCGCGCCGGGCCGGCGCCCGCACUUGGGACGCUCGCGCUGGUCCCCCUCCGGACCAUAUCUCCUCUGUGGGCGAGCUGGGCCGGCCGACCUCCCAGCGGCAGCGGUGGCCGCCCGGCGCCCGGCCCGGCGAGCCGGCCGUCUUCAGCGACUCCGUGCUGGCCUUUAUCAGCUCGGCCACGGCGGCGGCCCAGGGCGAGGCUCCGGCCGCCGAGGGCUCCGGCCGGCGGCAGCAGCGCGGGACGCCACCGGAGCGCCGGGACGACCCCAGACGGCGGCAACACUACCGGGACGGCGGGAAGGGUGGCACCAGCCGGGCUGGCCGGCCGCAGGGCGACGGGCCUCUGCAGCACAGCGCGCCACACCCGGCCGGCCGUCGACCGAACGGCGGCCACAGCGGCCCGGCGGCCGGCGGCUGGCUGGGCAGCAGCCGGUCCGAGGGCGCCGGCUGGUGCCCGGACGGCGGCCGGCGGCACGGCGGGCCACGGCGCGGGGGCCGCCGCCAGCCGCCGCGCCCGCCGGCGCCACCGGACCACCAGGCGGACGCGUCCGUGUGCCGGCCGCAGCCGGUGGCGGUGCGUGCACCGUCACCGUCCGGCGCCGAGCUGGGUCAGCGCGAGCGGCUGGUGGAGCAGCUCAGUGGCGGCCGCUACGAGUGCCUGGUGUGUGUGGAGCUGGUGCGGCCGGCCCACCCGGUCUGGAGCUGCGCCAGCUGCUACCACGUGUUCCACAUGGGCUGUGUGCGCCGCUGGGCGCGCACCAGCAGAGCAGAGUCCGGAGGCUGGCGUUGUCCGGCCUGUCAGAAUGUGACCGCCGCGCCCCCGGCCACGUACAAAUGCUUCUGUGGCAAGAUGCGCGAUCCGCCGUGGAACCGACGCGACACGCCGCAUUCGUGUGGAGAGGUGUGCGGUCGAAGUCGCUCCGAUGUGAAUUGCGUGCACCGCUGUACGCUGCUCUGCCAUCCGGGACCCUGUCCGCCGUGCAGUGCUUCCGUGACACGGUCGUGUCCGUGCGGUAAGAAGACGGUGGAGAUUCGCUGUGAGCUGGCGGCCACGCUCACCUGUGAGCAGACGUGCGGCCGCAGCCUCAACUGUGGCGUUCACCGCUGCGGGGAGCCGUGCCACCGGGGCGACUGCGCCGAGUGUCCCGUCCAGCUGGAGCGAGUGUGUUUCUGCGGCAAGGAGCGGCGCCAGGAGGCGUGCACCGCGGAGACAGCCGGCGCGGGCCCGUUCUGCUGCGGCCAGCCGUGCGGCCGGCAGCUCGACUGCGGCCGACACCACUGCGACAGGCUCUGCCACGAGGGCGAGUGCGGCGCCUGCCCGCUCAGCCCCGAACUGGUGCAGCGGUGUCCGUGCGGCGCCCGGCCGCUGAGCGAGCUGCCGGCGCCGGCGCGCGCCUCCUGCGCCGACCCGGUGCCCACGUGCGGCGGGACGUGCGGCCGACGACUGGCCUGCGGUCGGCCCGGCCAGCGGCACACGUGCCGGGCCGCCUGCCACGCGGGCGACUGUCCGCCGUGCCCGCUGCAGACGGCCGUCCGGUGCCGGUGCGGCUUUAUGGACCGCGAGAUUGCCUGCGGCGAGCUCACCACCCGCGCCGACGACGCGCGCUGCCAGAAACGCUGCACCAAGAAGCGCAGCUGCGGCCGCCACAAGUGCGGCCAGGAGUGCUGCAUCCUAGUGGAGCACCCGUGCCCGCUGACGUGCGGCCGCCGGCUGACGUGCGGCGUGCACACGUGCCAGCAGCCCUGCCACGUGGGACAGUGUCGGCCAUGCAUGGAGGCCAGUUUUGACGAGCUGCACUGCGAGUGCGGCGCGUCGGUGUUGUACCCGCCGGUGGCGUGCGGCACGCCGCGACCGCCCUGCGACCAGCCGUGCUCGCGCGCCCACCCGUGCGGCCACCCGGUGCUGCACAGCUGCCACAGCCAGCCAGAGUGUCCGCCCUGCACCCAGCUGAUGAAAAAGUUCUGCUACGGACGCCACGAGGAGAGGAGCAGUGUGCCGUGCCACCAGACUGCCGUCUCGUGCGGCCGGCCCUGUGGCAAGCCGCUGCCCUGCCGUCGCCACCAGUGCAAGGAGCCGUGCCACGCGGGCCCGUGUCCGGAGCUGGCUGCCGGCUGCAGGCAGCCCUGCCGGGCUGUGCGUGGCGACUGCCAGCACCCGUGCGGCGCGCCAUGCCACGACGGCGAGUGUCCCAGCACGCCUUGCCGCGCCCAGGUGCGCGUGAGCUGCGAGUGCGGCCACCGCAGCCGAACGGUGGCCUGCAGCGACACGGGCGGCUUCCGGGCGCUUAGCACCUCGGCGCUGGCGCACCGGCUGUCUGCCAUCCAGGCCGGCGGCGCCGGCGGCGUUGACGUCUCCGAGCUGCUGUCGGGCGCCGCCGGCGGGCCGGCCAGGGCCGCCAGGACCAGAGCGCUGCAGUGCAACGCCGAGUGCGCGCUGCUCGAGAGGAACCGUCGUCUGGCCGCGGCGCUUCAGAUAAAAAACCCGGAGCUGUCGUCGCGGGCAGGGCCGCCCGCCUACCCGCCCUCCAUGCUCGAGAUGGCGCGCAAGGCGAAGGGUCUGGCCGAGGACGUACACCAGCAGCUGGCCGAGCUGGUCCAGCGGGCGCAGCAGUCAAAGCACAAGAGUCGGAGCGUGGCGUUCGCGCCAAUGAACCGCGAGCGGCGCCAGUUUGUGCACGAGUACUGCGAACACUUUGGCUGCGAGUCCGAGAGCUACGACGACGAGCCAAAGAGGAACGUGGUGGCCACGGCCUACCGCGACAGGUGCUGGCUGCCCACCCUCAGCGUCCUGCAGGUACGGACAGCGUCCUGCAGGUACGGACAGUGUCCUCCAGGUACGGACAGCGUCCUGCAGGUACGGACAGCGUGCUGCAGGUACGGACAGCGUGCUGCAGGUACGGACAGCGUGCUGCAGGUACGAACAGCGUCCUGCAGGUACGGACAGUGUGCUGCUGGUACGGACAGUGUCCUCCAGGUACGGACAGCGUGCUGCAGGUACGGACUGCCGUGUCGAUGAGGCGCGAUGUUGCUGGUACCUGCAGCACACUGUCUGGUGGUGAACCACAUUGUGGCUGGAAGGAGUAGAUAAUUGUAUACAGACUCAGCCGGUUACUCAAUUCCCAGCCGGUGCCGGCGGUACCAGCACCUGCCAAAUAUCUCCCGGUGCCCCCGAGUACGGCUCUCGCUAGAUUAAGCGGUAGGUUUUGCACUUUUACAUUUCCGGUUAUGUCUCAGAAACUAAUCGAUCUACGAUGAAGCCAUUUUACACGAUCAUGGUCGGCUUGUGAACCAGCAAGUCGACCGCAUCUUUAACACUUAAAAGUUUAAGACGACGAAGAUAUAGCCUGAAGUGCACUAAGUUUUCUAGGUGCAAAACCUACCGCUAAAACCCGCGAGACCUGUACAUAGCUGCACCCCUGAGUACACUACAGCACCCCCGAGUACAUUGCAGUACCCUCUAGUACAUACUGUACCCCGGAGUCUGUGUCAGUGCCCUGCUCCCCGUUCCCAGGUCGUUGAGUCGGGCCCCAGGAAGAUUGCGCCGGCGCCACGCCUGGGCUCUAAGCGCGAGAGCGCUGCCGCGGUGCCGGCUGGUGCCGCGACCACGGCGCCGUCGGUCGCCAGUGCGCAGUCGAAGGAGCCGCCGGCGAUCGACUAUUUCGACUUCACCGGCUGACGGUGCUGGCCGGACGACCUCUCCGCCGGCGGCCGGACGAGCCCUCUGGCUGGCUCGCCCGGCCAGAGGGUGUGACGCCCCGCGCUGUACGAGCGGGGCCAGAGGGGCGCUGCGUUCCGCCGCCGAGCGGCCGGCGUCAGUGGACCGUGACUGCCAGAGCACUGGAUGAACGUAGGGCCGCCCAGAGGGGCUCAGUGGGCUCCCACUGGGGCUCCCACAGCUCGCCCUCUGUGCCCAGGGUGCGGCCAGUCGCCGCCGGGUCCGUGGCCCGGCCCGCUGGCGAGCAGCACAGCCAGGGCUGGAGAUGACCGCCGGCGGCGGCACCCGCCUCCCUGGCGCGCGCAAUGUGUGACGCCGCCUGUCGGACCUGGGUCCCGGUGUGGAUGGCAAUGGUGCUGCGCCAGCCGGCUGGUGUGUGCUGCGGCCUGGAAUAGUGCUGCGCCAGCCGGCUGGUGUGUGCUGCGGCCUGGAAUAGUGCUGCGCCAGCCGGCUGGUGUGUGCUGUGGCCUGGAAUAGUGCUGCGCCAGCCGGCUGGUGUGUGCUGUGGCCUGGAAUAGUGCUGCGCCAUCCGACUGGUGUGUGGUGCGGCCUGGAAUAGUGCUGCGCCAGCCGGCUGGUGUGUGAUGUGGCCUGGAAUAGUGCUGCGCCAGCCGGCUGGUGUGUGCUGUGGCCUGGAAUAGUGCUGCGCCAGCCGGCUGGUGUGUGGUGCGGCCUGGAAUAGUGCUGCGCCAGCCGGCUGGUGUGUGCUGUGGCCUGGAAUAGUGCUGCGCCAGCCGGCUGGUGUGUGCUGCGGCCUGGAAUAGUGCUGCGCCAGCCGGCUGGUGUAACGUCUCGGUGAGCCAAGGGCCACCGCGUCUAGUUGAUUGCUCUAAAUAACAUGUUUAGGUCCAAAUUGUCAACAAGAAGUGUGUGUGUGUGUAGGUGUGUGCGGGAAUUGCGCGGCGUGUGCUCAGAGUGUAGUUGCGCAGCGUGUGUUGGGAGUGGAGCGGGUCGCGAGUCACCAGUCACCGCUGUCCUAAAUUACGGAACUGUAUAGGGUAAAUUGAUUAUUGCUGUUUGGGGAGUUAUCGGGUGAUCGGUGAUAUUUAUUUUCAAAUAAAAAUUUUGAAUCAA